GAAUCCGGGAGGACCAUCUCCCAAGGCUAAAUACUCCCUAGUGACCGAUAGUGAACCAGUACCGUGAGGGAAAGGUGAAAAGCACCCCGGAAGGGGAGUGAAACAGUUCCUGAAACCGUGUGCCUACAAGUAGUUAGAGCCCGUUAAUGGGUGAUAGCGUGCCUUUUGUAGAAUGAACCGGCGAGUUACGAUUUGUUGCAAGGUUAAGCGGAAAAAGCGGAGCCGUAGCGAAAGCGAGUCUGAAUAGGGCGCAUAAGUAACAGGUCGUAGACCCGAAACCAGGUGAUCUACCCAUGUCCAGGAUGAAGGUAAGGUAAUACUUACUGGAGGUCCGAACCCACGCACGUUGAAAAGUGCGGGGAUGAGGUGUGGGUAGCGGAGAAAUUCCAAUCGAACUUGGAGAUAGCUGGUUCUCUCCGAAAUAGCUUUAGGGCUAGCCUCGAGGUAAAGAGUCAUGGAGGUAGAGCACUGUUUGGACUAGGGGCCCUUCUCGGGUUACCGAAUUCAGAUAAACUCCGAAUGCCAUGUACUUAUACUCGGGAGUCAGACUGCGAGUGAUAAGAUCCGUAGUCGAAAGGGAAACAGCCCAGACCACCAGUUAAGGUCCCCAAAUAUAUGUUAAGUGGAAAAGGAUGUGGGGUUGCUUAGACAACCAGGAUGUUGGCUUAGAAGCAGCCACCAUUGAAAGAGUGCGUAAUAGCUCACUGGUCGAGUGACCCCGCGCCGAAAAUGUACCGGGGCUAAACAUAUUACCGAAACUGUGGAUGAACCUCUUUAGAGGUUCGUGGUAGGAGAGCGUUCUAAGGGCGGUGAAGUCAGACCGGAAGGACUGGUGGAGCGCUUAGAAGUGAGAAUGCCGGUAUGAGUAGCGAAAGAAGGGUGAGAAUCCCUUCCACCGAAUAUCUAAGGUUUCCUGAGGAAGGCUCGUCCGCUC
rnacentral:rRNA from 1 species